UACGAAGGGGGCUAGCGUUGCUCGGAAUCACUGGGCGUAAAGCGCACGUAGGCGGCUUUUUAAGUCAGGGGUGAAAUCCUGGAGCUCAACUCCAGAACUGCCUUUGAUACUGAAGAUCUUGAGUUCGGGAGAGGUGAGUGGAACUGCGAGUGUAGAGGUGAAAUUCGUAGAUAUUCGCAAGAACACCAGUGGCGAAGGCGGCUCACUGGCCCGAUACUGACGCUGAGGCACGAAAGCGUGGGGAG
rnacentral:rRNA from 1 species